rnacentral:rRNA from 1 species
GCGGCAGUAGCGCGGUGGUCCCACCUGACCCCAUGCCGAACUCAGAAGUGAAACGCCGUAGCGCCGAUGGUAGUGUGGGGUCUCCCCAUGCGAGAGUAGGGAACUG